rnacentral:rRNA from 1 species
GCUUACACAUGCAGUCGAACGGAAACGAUACUAGCUUGCUAGUAGGCGUCGAGUGGCGGACGGGUGAGUAACGCGUAGGAAUCUGCCUGAUAGUGGGGGAUAGCCCGAAGAAAUUCGGAUUAAUACCGCAUAAUCUAUUCGUAGUAAAGUGGGGGACUUUCGAGCCUCACGCUAUCAGAUGAGCCUGCGUAAGAUUAGCUUGUUGGUAGGGUAAAAGCCUACCAAGGCGACGAUCUUUAGCUGGUCUGAGAGGAUGAUCAGCCACAUCGGGACUGAGACACGGCCCGAACUCCUACGGGAGGCAGCAGUGGGGAAUAUUGGACAAUGGGGGCAACCCUGAUCCAGCAAUACCGCGUGUGUGAAGAAGGCCUGAGGGUUGUAAAGCACUUUCAAUUGUGAAGAAAAGUUAGCGGUUAAUAACCGUUAGCCUUGACGUUAACUUUAGAAGAAGCACCGGCUAACUCCGUGCCAGCAGCCGCGGUAAUACGGAGGGUGCAAGCGUUAAUCGGAAUUACUGGGCGUAAAGCGUGCGUAGGCGGUUUAUUAAGUCAGAUGUGAAAGCCCCGGGCUUAACCUGGGAACUGCAUUUGAAACUGGUCAACUAGAGUAUGGUAGAGGAAAGUGGAAUUUCUGGUGUAGCGGUGAAAUGCGUAGAUAUCAGAAGGAACAUCAAUGGCGAAGGCAGCUUUCUGGACCAAUACUGACGCUGAGGUACGAAAGCGUGGGUAGCAAACAGGAUUAGAUACCCUGGUAGUCCACGCCGUAAACGAUGAUAACUAGCCGUUGGGGGGAUUUACCCUUUAGUGGCGAAGCUAACGCGUUAAGUUAUCCGCCUGGGGAGUACGGCCGCAAGGUUAAAACUCAAAGGAAUUGACGGGGACCCGCACAAGCGGUGGAGCAUGUGGUUUAAUUCGAUGCAACGCGAAGAACCUUACCUGGUCUUGACAUCCUGCGAACUUUCUAGAAAUAGAUUGGUGCCUUCGGGAACGCAGUGACAGGUGCUGCAUGGCUGUCGUCAGCUCGUGUCGUGAGAUGUUGGGUUAAGUCCCGUAACGAGCGCAACCCCUAUCCUUAUUUGCCAGCACAUCAUGGUGGGAACUAUAAGGAGACUGCCGGUGAUAAACCGGAGGAAGGCGGGGACGACGUCAAGUCAUCAUGGCCCUUACGACCAGGGCUACACACGUGCUACAAUGGGAAGGACAAAGAGCCGCGAAGCCGCGAGGUGUAGCUAAUCUCAUAAACCUUUUCGUAGUCCGGAUUGGAGUCUGCAACUCGACUCCAUGAAGUCGGAAUCGCUAGUAAUCGUAGAUCAGAAUGCUACGGUGAAUACGUUCCCGGGUCUUGUACACACCGCCCGUCAUACCAUGGGAGUGGGUUGCACCAGAAGUGGCUAGUCUAACUUUAUGAGGACGGUCACC